AUCAUUUCUUGGUCUUUUGUCAUGAUCAAGUGUAGUUUCUGUCCUUAUUAGUUUAAUAUCUGAUACAUCAUCUAUCCAAUGACAAUAUAUUUAAUGGAUUUGUUGGCACUAGGAAAUGGAAUAGGAGUUUGCUCCAUCCAGUCCACACAUGGAUCUGAUAUUUCAGUACCUUCAAGAAUGGUACACAAAAA